rnacentral:rRNA from 1 species
AGUUUGAUCCUGGCUCAGGACGAACGCUGGCGGCGUGCCUAAUACAUGCAAGUUGAGCGCUGAAGGUUGGUACUUGUACCGACUGGAUGAGCAGCGAACGGGUGAGUAACGCGUGGGGAAUCUGCCUUUGAGCGGGGGACAACAUUUGGAAACGAAUGCUAAUACCGCAUAACAACUUUAAACACAAGUUUUAAGUUUGAAAGAUGCAAUUGCAUCACUCAAAGAUGAUCCCGCGUUGUAUUAGCUAGUUGGUGAGGUAAAGGCUCACCAAGGCGAUGAUACAUAGCCGACCUGAGAGGGUGAUCGGCCACAUUGGGGCUGAGACACGGCCCAAACUCCUACGGGAGGCAGCAGUAGGGAAUCUUCGGCAAUGGACGAAAGUCUGACCGAGCAACGCCGCGUGAGUGAAGAAGGUUUUCGGAUCGUAAAACUCUGUUGGUAGAGAAGAACGUUGGUGAGAGUGGAAAGCUCAUCAAGUGACGGUAACUACCCAGAAAGGGACGGCUAACUACGUGCCAGCAGCCGCGGUAAUACGUAGGUCCCGAGCGUUGUCCGGAUUUAUUGGGCGUAAAGCGAGCGCAGGUGGUUUAUUAAGUCUGGUGUAAAAGGCAGUGGCUCAACCAUUGUAUGCAUUGGAAACUGGUAGACUUGAGUGCAGGAGAGGAGAGUGGAAUUCCAUGUGUAGCGGUG